GUGAAGAGUGCCUAUGGCAGCAGAAUAAUGGUCUCCCGGAGGCGUACAUAUCCUAAUCCCUGCAACCUGUGGAUGCUACUUUCAUGGCAAAAUAAUUUUGGAACACAAGGAGGCAGAAAGAACUGUGUCCCAAUGUUGUGAGAAGAGAAAGACACAAUGAACCACUGCUGGCUUUGAAGAUGGAAGAGGGAGCUGCAACCCAAAGAAUGCCUCUAGAAGCAGGAGAAGGCAAGAAACAGAUUCUCGCCUAGAGCUUCCAGAAAGGAGCACAGUGCCAGCACUUUGAUGUUAGCCAUUCUUAAGAAGUGACUCUCCAGGGGAGCUAAAAUCCAUGUAUUUGGGCACACACUUGAACAAUAUUGCUAGAGAAAUUUAAGCAAGAGCACAAAGGUUAAUGACAUCUCUUGUGGGGACCACUGUGAGAAUAAAACAAGGCACUACGUUGUCUGGGAUGAUGGAAGGAGCUAAAGUCUUCAGUGAAUGAAGGAGCAGGACCAGGAGCUCAAAAUACUUCUUUGAAGACAAAGAAGAAAUGAUAUUACCAAAUGGUUGGCUCAAAAGAACAGGGAUUUUGCAACAGAGAGAGUAUGUCAUGGUCUUGAACAAGCAAUGUUUUGCCAGGACGAUUAAAUAUCAUUGAUGCUUCUGGUCUACAAUUAGUCAGAGAAGAGAUUAAAAAAAUGAUGAGUAUUCAAGAAGGAAAGUGUUUGCUUUAACAUAUGAAGAAAAGGAGCUUCAGAGUGGUGAUUAACCCCAGAAUUGUGUGGAACGGAUAUGGAAACAAGACCACAGGAGCAUCGAGAACUGAGCAGAACUGAAGGUGACAUGAAAAUCAGCUGCAAGAUUCACCUCAGGGUGAUAAUGGGCUGCAGGUGGCUGCAGGAAUCCCGGGACAUUCUAGGCACUGCCAUAUUUUCUUAGGGGCCAGUAAGGAUGGCUAUCAUCAGAUGUACCUGAUGAUACAAACAUGGGCUGUCUUGCCUUCUAGUAUUCAUUCUUGAUGAUUGCAUCCAGAGCUCACUUUGGAGGUGCAGAUCAACUCUUCUUCAGGCUCAUCCAUGCGACUUGAGUGGGCUCUCAUCCCCAUUCCCAGGGGCUUAUGACAAUCAAGGUUUCCACUCCUCCAUGGUCUCAAUGGUUUUUCUCCCCAUGGGAAGCACAUAAUCCCAUUAGAGGCCACGGGAAGCUUUUUUGUUGGGCUUUGAGGGAAAAAAGGCUUUUGCAGCCAAUGAAUCGAUCAAUGUGUACUUCAACCUGGAUUGUAUGUAUGCAUCUCCUAGAUUGGGCGGAUGAUGAAGUGAGGCUGGAAGUGCUGAGCAUCUUCCUACCUGGGAUGACUGGGCUGAGCAGGAAGCCUACCCCGGGGUUCCAGCCAAGUUGGAGCCUGUGAGUGUGUGGUGUAGUUUAACGCCCUGAUUAAAUCACUAGGAAGCCAUUUCUCUCUCUCCUCCCAGACCAGAUCAGACAAUAUGUUCCCUUAUUUCUACUAAAGCCCCAAUUGGAUUUUGUGUCUUUUGAUACUGAAAGAAUCUUACCACAAAUAAAAUAAUUUGUCAUGUGGCUCCUACAUAUUUAUUCAGUUACAUAAACUAACUAAAUAAAUGAAUAAACUGUCAAUAAUGGUAGUUCCUCAUCUAUGAAUGACUCUUUACAAAGCCUAUCUCGCUUAAUAGUCAUAAUAAAUACUGAAGUAGAUACUAUUUAUACCUUUUUUUUAAAAGGAAUUAAAUAUUUUCAGGGUUAUACAAAGCAUGAGUAUUGUGGGUACAAAUUCAAGCUUUCUAACUCAAAUUUGAAGACUUAUCCCCAGGAUACUUUUACAUCUUUAGCUAGUACCAUGUAUACCUCAAAAGCUUACAUUAUUUUUCACAUGUGUUAGGUUUUGAGGGAUAAUCAAUAAGGAGGGCAUACUUUCAGGCUUCUUAUUUAUAACUGUGAAAUUUAGAAAUUGAUGGAGUAGCAGAUUUCUCGGUAGGAGACAGCUGUUUUAAAAUGCCCCAUGUUUUUAUUAAAGUAAAAAUCUCAAAAAUUGUCUUUUAAAAAGUGGCUCUGGCCAAUCUUAGAUAAAACAUCAUUUACUAGACUUAGGAAUUUCCUGUAGUAAAUUUCAGAUUUACUUUUCGGUCUCACAUCAUCAAAGAGAUCAUAACCCUUUGUGCAAUUAUGGUCUUGAACCAAGGCCUAUUCUCUAGGUCACUGCUGUCAGGACUUCAAGAUAAUUGUUUCCAUUGCAGGAUUUGAUUUUUAAUUCCCCGGAUGUUCUUGACGUGGUUCAGUUCUUCAGGAAAUCAUCACCCUCAUGAGCCCUCCCUGCCACUUGCAGAUAGGGCUUUCUCCCGGUAAGUUCUGGAGUCACGGCAGAGCUCAAUAAGUCUGAUUGGGACCUCCUAUGAUUAU
rnacentral:lncRNA from 10 species